CAGUCGACGGCAGCACGGACUUCGGUCUGGUGGCGAGUGGCGAACGGGUGAGUAAUAUAUCGGAACGUGCCCAGUCGUGGGGGAUAACGUAGUGAAAAUUACGCUAAUACCGCAUACGAUCUAAGGAUGAAAGCGGGGGAUCGCAAGACCUCGCGCGAUUGGAGCGGCCGAUAUCAGAUUAGGUAGUUGGUGAGGUAAAGGCUCACCAAGCCAACGAUCUGUAGCUGGUCUGAGAGGACGACCAGCCACACUGGAACUGAGACACGGUCCAGACUCCUACGGGAGGCAGCAGUGGGGAAUUUUGGACAAUGGACGCAAGUCUGAUCCAGCCAUUCCGCGUGCAGGACGAAGGCCUUCGGGUUGUAAACUGCUUUUGUACAGAACGAAAAGGUCUCUAUUAAUACUGGGGGCUCAUGACGGUACUGUAAGAAUAAGCACCGGCUAACUACGUGCCAGCAGCCGCGGUAAUACGUAGGGUGCAAGCGUUAAUCGGAAUUACUGGGCGUAAAGCGUGCGCAGGCGGUUAUAUAAGACAGAUGUGAAAUCCCCGGGCUCAACCUGGGAACUGCAUUUGUGACUGUAUAGCUGGAGUGCGGCAGAGGGGGAUGGAAUUCCGCGUGUAGCAGUGAAAUGCGUAGAUAUGCGGAGGAACACCGAUGGCGAAGGCAAUCCCCUGGGCCUGCACUGACGCUCAUGCACGAAAGCGUGGGGAGCAAACAGGAUUAGAUACCCUGGUAGUCCACGCCCCUAAC
rnacentral:rRNA from 1 species